rnacentral:rRNA from 1 species
UACGUAGGGGCCUAGCGUUGUCCGGAAUUAUUGGGCGUAAAGCGCGCGCAGGCGGUCUCUUAAGUCUGAUGUGAAAUCCCGUGGCUUAACCACGGGCGGUCAUUGGAAACUGGGGGGACUUGAGUGCAGAAGAGAAGAGCGGAAUUCCACGUGUAGCGGUGAAAUUCGUAGAUAUUGGGAAGAACACCGGUGGCGAAGGCGGCGACCUGGUCCUUUUACUGACGCUGAGGCGCGAAAGCGUGGGGAGCAAACAGG